rnacentral:lncRNA from 1 species
AGCUGAGAUUACCAGGCGUGGAGCAGACAAUGGAAGCGAUUAAAUAAAGUCAGAGCUUUGCAGCCGAAGAUGGCCAAAGAGGAGGCAGUGGAGUCACCAGGGCUGGGAAGCUGAGAACUGUGGAGUCGCAUGCCUGGAUUGACAGGGCCUCUGUGAGGGCACUUCAAGAGCCUGUGCCCAGGAUCCGAGGGGCGCCUGGAUGUCCGUGUAUCCAACAGCAGUCAAAUCACAGUAGCCCUUGUUGUAGCGGGGACAUCUGAGGAGUUUAC